rnacentral:rRNA from 1 species
GACCUGGUACGGUGGUCCGCCAUCACGGUGUGUACUGCUGGACCGGGUUCUACCUCUUGGUGAGCCGGCAUGCCCUUCACUGGGUGUGUCGGGGAACCAGGACUUUUACCUUGAGAAAAUUAGAGUGUUCAAAGCAGGCCUACGCCCGAAUACAUUAGCAUGGCAUAAUAAAAUAGGACGUGCGGGUCUAUUUCGUUGGUUUCUAGAGUCGCCGUA